UGCCAUGUCCAAGUCGUGAAGCCAUCUUCAUGCUCUCCGGGCGGUUCUGCUCGAGCUGACAAUGGAAGCUCUUUGCUCCCCCUGCAGGAACCUGUACGUAUUUCAAAUUUUAUCAUUCCAAUUUAGUACUCCUGUGAACAGUAAAAGCAUGCUUGAUACAUAGUAUUCAACAAUAUUAAGAGUACAAUAAACAAGAUUUUAGAAUACUAUUGUGUAAUGUCAAAUCUACCUCAAAGAACACAACAUAAAAGUAAACAAAACUAUAUAGAUUUCUCUUAUUAUUUGUUUACCCAGUUUUCCCAUUUUCUUGAAGAAUCAACCAUUACCAGCUUCGGAGAGUCCUCCAUUAUCUCCAAGAGGAAGCGAUGAGACAAAGGUAAUUCCUCCAAAGUCAUUCUUGUAAAUACAAUAAAUGCUUCGAGUAAAGCAUUCACUUACUCUUAUAACACCAGUCGAAAGUAGGGUAAGCACACUUUUUCAAUGGGUUAGGUUCUAGGAACAUUAAUAUCUCUAGACUAAUGCAAAAUAACACAAUCUAGACACUUUCUUCAUAUAGUUUCAUUCUAGAUGCAAAAUAGCAUUGACUUGAGCACCAAUUCAUACAUAUCUUAUGUCUGAAUGCAUCAUGUUCCGAGGAUUAUUUACGAUCAGUUCAAUCUAUACAGGAAUUGCUUCAACUGCAUCAAGCUUUCAACCAGGAGCUUCUUUCUAAUCAACAGUUGAUAAGAAAUGGGGUAAGAAAUUUUAAGCUCAACCAACAUAACAUCAUAUAAGAAGCCAUAAACAGAUUCAGGAUUCUCCUGAUCACUGUUAUUGUCUAACAGCUCUACUGGAGCAUUAUCAGGAGCAAGAAAGUAGGUAGAUGUUUAAAAGAUCAAAAAGAGAGGAAAAGGCAGGAGAAUAGAGCUCACAAUGCUCAAUUGCACGCAGCAAUAUCUGUGGCAGGGGUUGCAGCUGCAGUGGCUGCCCUUGCAGCCUCAUCAAUGACCUCUCCAGAAAAAGUAGCCGCCCAAACUAAGAAACCUACUGGAAUUGCAUCUGCAGCUGCACUUGUUGCAUCUCACUGCAUAGAAGUUGCAGAAGAUAUGGGAGCUGAUCAUGAACAAAUCCUAUCAGUCGUGAAUUCAGCAAUCAGUGCAAGGACUAAUGGCGAUAUAAUGACACUUACUGCUGGAGCUGCUACAGGUGUAAAUUUAAUUGCUGUCAUAGAUUCCAUGAUCUGAAUCUAAAAAAUCAAUCAAAGUUCACAAAUGGGAACAAAUUUAUUGGUUUUUCUGUAAGUGUAGUUAAGGUAGCUUAAUGAAAGACCAAGACAGAGUACAAAAGACCAAACUCACGUAACCUGACUGGAUAAUUUUUAAUGAGAUUACUAGUUAUUUGUGAUGAAUUGCUGCUCACAAGAAACUACCUCUCAUACAAAGGAAUCAAAAGCUAAUCUAUCAUACUAUAUUCUGAUUUGAUAUUAAUUACUAAUACAGCAUUAAGAGGUGCUGCCACUCUAAGAGCAAGAUUACAUAAGGUGCAUGGACCUGCAAUUGCGCUGAAUGACGAAAAUGUUCAAAUCAGCACAGAAUCAAAUACCUUAGCAGCAUUAGAUUUUGUUACAAGAGGGGAAGAAAUUCUUAAAUGCACAAGGAAAGGUAAUGAUACAGUGAAUGUACUUAUGCACUAACAGAGAGAUUGUAUUAAUUUUUAUGAUAAUAAAAUCAUGGUUUUUACAGGAGAUCUCCACUGGAAGCUAGUCUCAUUCAACAUAAAUUCAAAUUUACAGGUAAAAAUUUUGAACACUGCCAUAUUCUCAUAACAUUCACUUACGCUUCCUGUUGAUGUGGAAGGGAUAGUUGGUUUGGUUCCUUUCCUUAAACCCCCUGGCUUGUAGAUGAUUUGGAUUAAUGCACACCUGCAGGACCAUAAAUGAAUCAAGAGGUAGCAUUGGGUCCUGUGUCUAAUGUCUAUACUUAGGUGUCAAUGCCAUUGUAUGAUACAUUGUUUAUAUUGUUGUGUAAAUAUUGCAAUAUACUGAGCAACAAAAAUGUAUGAAGACUAGUUGAGUUUUCAUUAAUAUUUCUGUCUGAGUUGGUGUUUCUUGGAAAGUUCAAGACUAGGUUACUCUAAGUCUUGGAGAGUUAAUUAUAUUAUCUCUGUUCUGAACCAUAUGGACUUUACCAAAAAUUACCUGCCCAGAAUAAAUAUAAAUACCUUCAUUUUUAGUUCCAUUUUUGUUCAUGAACUGGCUAUUGCUAUGAUUGAAUCAGACUGCUAUAAUGUUGUACAACCAGUGAACAAACCGUCUCUCUAUGCUAUGCAAUUGUAGUACUGCUACCCAAACUAGGUCAUUGACAGGUUUUAAAAAUAGGGGGACACAUGGUGCAGCAUCAUUGGAUAGAUAAGGGGAAAAAAUUAUCCACGUUGGCUGUACCUGUUAAAGCCCGUUUUUAAUCCCCGUCUGAGUAGCAUUACUCGUGCAAUUGAAGGAGUCGUAUGCUUAGAAUUUCAGAUUUAUGUUGUUCUUUUCCUUCUUUAGUAUGCAACUUAAAAACUAGACUUGUCUCUCAAAAGCCGACUCAUUUUUCAAUCAACCGCGGAAUGCAUAAAGGAAUGCGCAUCGCUCAACCCAGUUUCAUGCUGGAGGCGUUUUUGGUGAUCUCGACCGGGGACAACUAGAUCGAAGGAUUGAAGGAGACAUAUGCUUAGAAUUUCAGAUUUAUUUAGGGGGAUGUCCUCAAUUGAGAUUGCAAUUAAUUUUAAAAGUCAUUCUAAAUUUAUGUAUCUUCAAUUGAGAUUUUAUUAAAUUUUAAUUAAAUUCAUUAAAGUUUAGGUGUACCCAAUUGAAAUUUUAAUGAAAUCUUUUAAAAUUUAAGUAUUCUCAGUAAUUAGUGGAUUUAUAAAGAUUUCAUUGAUAGAAAGAUUUUAAAAGAUUUGGAUGGAUUUCAAGUUAAAAAAUACAUAUAAGUAAAUUUUUAAAAAUUUCAUCAUAUUUAAUGAGAUUCUUAUUAAAUUUGUAAGAAUCUAUUUAAAUCCACCAAAUUCAUUAGAAUUUAUAAUUAUUUAAAAUUCAUCAAAAUCUUAGUUGAGAACACUCAUGUAGUUCAUUUCCUUCCUUAGUGUUCUCUUUCGUUGGGCGUGUAACUAACUGUGUUGUUCACACCAUCGCGAAGAACGCUCUCUUAUAUCCCCAUAACUUGGCCUGGUUUGAGGAGUCGUGGAACUUUAAAAUUUCAUCAUAUUUAAUGAGAUUCUUAUUAAAUUUGUAAGAAUCUAUUUAAAUCCACCAAAUUCAUUAGAAUUUAUAAUUAUUUAAAAUUCAUCAAAAUCUUAGUUGAGAACACUCAUGUAGUUCAUUUCCUUCCUUAAUGUUCUCUUUCGUUGGGCGUGUAACUAACUGUGUUGUUCACACCAUCGCGAAGAACGCUCUCUUAUAUCCCCAUAACUUGGCCUGGUUUGAGGAGUCGUGGAACUUGUAAUUCGUGAUAUUGCUGAAAGUUGGAGCUCUUGUCAUUCUUUAUUCUGAACUUGGCCUAUUUUAUUUAGAGGAAACGAGUCCAAUCAAGAUUGUAAUUCAGUGUUAUCUCUAACCAUUUAAAGAUUUAGACGAUACCGUCCCCAAGUAAAAAUCUAUAGUGUUUUAUACUGUGCUUGUGAAAUUACUGCCUACUCUAAUAAAAGGAUAUAUUCUUACGACAUUUUUAAUAAAGUUUGCUUUGAAUCAAGGAACUUUAGUCACUUUUACCAGGGCCUGUGAAACUGCAGAUUCUCCCCUAUACCACUUUUACAAAGAGGUGAGAUGAAAAGAUAACUGAAGCAAAGCACCUCUACAAGUUUCAUCAUUUCAAUCAGUAAAAAAGUUUAUUAAAGUAGACAAGUGCCCAUCCUAACCUACCCUAUAAGCCGAAAAUAGCAUUUGUCAUUAGUGCACAAUUGUUUUCUUAAAACAUGAUUACUUAAAGCAAUAUGAUUUAGGAGAGUCCCACUUUCUUGAUUGCCUAAAAGUUAGAAAACUACAAUAGAUCCUCAAUGUAGAUAAAAAAUAAUCACGCUUUCACUUCAUAUAGUUGCUUGACUUUGAGGGGUUGUUUUUGUUUUGAGUUGUGUUCAAAAGAGUGGUUGUAUACCGAUCAAUGUUAUCAUUUAUUCUAGUCGAAACCCUGUUCUCUAUGGAUCCUUUACCACAUAGUGCACGAUGAUUUUUAUUUUCUCGAUGUGAAUAUCUAUUCAAAGAGUGUAUUUCCCAUUAGCUAGAAUCAAAAUACAGGAGAAUAUGACCAACCUCCCAAUCCCACAAUGUACGGAUGAUAGCAAUGAAUCAAGAAAGUGCACAAUAUGCUCUGACCUUGAUUUUCCCUACUUUUUAGGAGGAGAUGACGAAUCAAAUUUUCAUACACGCACCCACACCCGUAUAGACCUCAGCUUCCUCUUCAGGUUGUAAUACUCGACAUUACCCUCAAUGAUGCAAGCUAGCUAAGAAGCAUGGACACGUACCAGAACACGUGUAGGAGUGUCACGACUACCUAUAUUCUACUUGAGAGAGAUUCUCAAGAGCAUGAUUUCCACUAGAGUCCGGCAACUUAAGACUUGCUAAAUAUACUUUUAAAGUAUAUUCUUGCUGACCGCUGAUUAUAGUUCAGGGAAACAUGUAAUGGAGGGCCCUAUUUUUUGACUUUAAACAGUGAUAAUGGGGAGAAAAAGGAUUCCUUAGUCAUAAUUAAGCCCGCCGCUCAAGAAAUUUAUAGCCUUUUAUGCACAUAUAAAGCGGAAAAAAAAGAAAAAAAGAAAGAAUGGAUAUGGAAAUUAAAGCAGACACUGAGAAAUUGGAAGACAUGAUUUAUCUCAACUUUAUUUGAGACCUUUCAGGUAUAAAGAAAACAAAAAUGUACUUCCACUCAGAAUCAUUCUUUUGAUUUUAUUCACUUAAUAAAUUAGCUUCUUAGUAUAUAAAGAUCAGAUUAUUUCUCCUUCCCUACAUCAUCUUCCUCUGAAGCUUGUUUUCAUCAAGUGGUAUAGACAAAACACAUCAAGAGUAAGUCUAGUGAUCAAAAUUUCAGCUUAAUUACAAUGAGUAAAAGUUGAUAAGCAAGAACCUACCAAGUUAUUUUUGUACUUUAUGACUGUUAACAGUGUUCAAAUGCUCCGGUGGCUCGGAAUUCAAGUCAAAUAGGCUGGAAAACAUUGAGGAAGACAAUGAUGCAAGUUGGCUGCCAGCAAUGUGCCCCCCUCCGGAAACUCCAACAGAGUCCAUGGAGUUCUUGGCUAGAUCAUGGAGUCUGUCUGCAAAGGAACUGUCGAAUGCUCUUUGCCAUGUCCAAGUCGUGAAGCCAUCUUCAUGCUCUCCGGGCGGUUCUGCUCGAGCUGACAAUGGAAGCUCUUUGCUCCCCCUGCAGGAACCUGUACGUAUUUCAAAUUUUAUCAUUCCAAUUUAGUACUCCUGUGAACAGUAAAAGCAUGCUUGAUACAUAGUAUUCAACAAUAUUAAGAGUACAAUAAACAAGAUUUUAGAAUACUAUUGUGUAAUGUCAAAUCUACCUCAAAGAACACAACAUAAAAGUAAACAAAACUAUAUAGAUUUCUCUUAUUAUUUGUUUACCCAGUUUUCCCAUUUUCUUGAAGAAUCAACCAUUACCAGCUUCGGAGAGUCCUCCAUUAUCUCCAAGAGGAAGCGAUGAGACAAAGGUAAUUCCUCCAAAGUCAUUCUUGUAAAUACAAUAAAUGCUUCGAGUAAAGCAUUCACUUACUCUUAUAACACCAGUCGAAAGUAGGGUAAGCACACUUUUUCAAUGGGUUAGGUUCUAGGAACAUUAAUAUCUCUAGACUAAUGCAAAAUAACACAAUCUAGACACUUUCUUCAUAUAGUUUCAUUCUAGAUGCAAAAUAGCAUUGACUUGAGCACCAAUUCAUACAUAUCUUAUGUCUGAAUGCAUCAUGUUCCGAGGAUUAUUUACGAUCAGUUCAAUCUAUACAGGAAUUGCUUCAACUGCAUCAAGCUUUCAACCAGGAGCUUCUUUCUAAUCAACAGUUGAUAAGAAAUGGGGUAAGAAAUUUUAAGCUCAACCAACAUAACAUCAUAUAAGAAGCCAUAAACAGAUUCAGGAUUCUCCUGAUCACUGUUAUUGUCUAACAGCUCUACUGGAGCAUUAUCAGGAGCAAGAAAGUAGGUAGAUGUUUAAAAGAUCAAAAAGAGCGGAAAAGGCAGGAGAAUAGAGCUCACAAUGCUCAAUUGCACGCAGCAAUAUCUGUGGCAGGGGUUGCAGCUGCAGUGGCUGCCCUUGCAGCCUCAUCAAUGACCUCUCCAGAAAAAGUAGCCGCCCAAACUAAGAAACCUACUGGAAUUGCAUCUGCAGCUGCACUUGUUGCAUCUCACUGCAUAGAAGUUGCAGAAGAUAUGGGAGCUGAUCAUGAACAAAUCCU
rnacentral:lncRNA from 1 species